UACGUAGGGUGCGAGCGUUGUCCGGAAUUAUUGGGCGUAAAGGGCUCGUAGGCGGUCCAUCGCGUCGGGAGUGAAAAGCUGGGGCUUAACCCCAGUCCUGCUUUCGAUACGGGUGGACUAGAGGUAGGCAGGGGAGAAUGGAAUUCCUGGUGUAGCGGUGAAAUGCGUAGAUAUCAAGAGGAACACCUGAGGUGAAGACGGGUUGCUGGGCUGACACUGACGCUGAGGCGCGAAAGCCAGGGGAGCAAACGGG
rnacentral:rRNA from 1 species